UACAGUGUUGAUAAAAAUGGCGGAUCUGUCUGGCACGGACGAUACAAGUUUGGAUUUAAAUACGACCCAAGAGUCACAAGAUGAACAGCCCAGUCAAAAUGGAGACCAACCCAAAGAGAGGAAAAGAUCAAGAUCUCCUGUAGACCGUGAUAAGAAAAGAGAAAGAUCAAGCUCAGGUACACGUGAGCCAAAGUCGCGGCGAAGGAGUAGAGCUGGUGCAGGUGGAAAGGAAGACAAGAGAGUUCUUAUCACAAACAUUCCAUUUGAACUGACUUGGCAGAAGUUGAAAGAUCUUAUUCGGGAGAAGUUGGGAGAUAGUGCUGUGAAAAGAGUAGAGAUUUUCUCAGAUGAAAAUGGGAAGUCCAAGGGAGCUGGGCUGGCAGAUAUGCGUGACUAUGACAUGGCCACGAAAGCUAUUGAGGUGUUAAACAAGCAUGUUGUUAGUGGGAGGAAAAUCAUUGUUCGAGAGCUUACUGAGAAAGACAUCCGUCGCUACAUGCCCUCUCAGAUGGGAGUUGGGAACAUGGGUGGUGGAGGAAUGGGAGGAGGAGGAGGAGGAAUACUGGGAGGAGGAAUGGGAAUGGGUGGGGGUAUGGGAGGAGACAUGAUGGGAGCGGGAAAUGCUGUUAACCCCCAGUUGUUGCAGUCCCUUGGGAUCGAAGGUCCUGUUACCAACUCAGUAUUUGUUGCCAAUCUUGACUUCAGGGUGACAUGGAAGAAACUAAAAGAGAUAUUUCAGAUGGCUGGCAAUGUGGUCAGGGCAGAGAUCAAGGAGGAUAAGGACGGGAAAAGCCGCGGCAUGGGAACAGUGCAGUUUGAACUACCUUUUGAAGCAGUGCAGGCUAUUUCUAUGUUUAAUGGUCAAACUCUUUAUGACCGAGCUAUGACAGUUAGAAUGGAUAAAUUGAAUGAUUCCAUUCCUCCACAACAGCCAAGGCUGCCAAGUGGUUUGAAGGGCAUUGGUAUGGGUCUAGGCAUGGGAGGAGCUCCAAUACAUGGACAAGGGGGACAGAUGGGAAACAUGGGUAUGGGAGGAAUGGGAUCUGGAAUGGGAAGUGGAAUGGGCAACAUGGGUGGCAUGGGCAAUAUGGGCAUGGGAGGCGGCAUGGGCAACAUGGGCGGAGGAAACAUGGGCAUGGGCUCUGGGAUGGGCAAUAUGGGAGGAAUGGGGGGUGGUAUGAGUAACAUGGGAGGCGGAGGCAUGGGCAACAUGGGAGGUGGCAUGGGGAGCGGCAUGGGCAUGUCUGGAGGUAUGGGGGGUAUGGGGAUGAGCAACAUGGGCAUGGGCAGUGGGAUGGGGGGUAACAUGAACAACAUGGGGAUGGGAGGUGAUAUAGGUGGAAUGGGCAACAUGGGCAGUGGCAUGGGUGGUCUGUCAGACAUGAUUGGAAUGGGUGGUGGGUCCAGUGGGUUAGGAGACAGCAUGGGCUCUGUGAUGUCAGGCAUGGGUGGAUCCGGCAGUUACAUGGGCAGCAGUGGGCUUGGGGACAGUGGACGUUAUGGCAGCAGAGAUGGUGGACGGCGUGACCGUAGUCGUGACAGAGACCGUGGGGACAGAAGAGGCGACAGAGGCCGAGAUUAUGGACGAGAUCGAGAUGGAAGAGGAGAUGGAGGGAGCAGGGUGAGAGCUGGACAGGAAGGAUGUUCAGUUAUUGUCAGAAAUCUGCCUUUUAGCGUUGACUGGCAACAGUUGAAAGAAAGAUUCAGAGAUGUUGGUGAUGUCAAGUUUGCAGAGAUCAAGAUGGACAACGGCAAGUCCAAGGGCUGGGGUACAGUCCGCUUCAACUCGCCCACAGACGCUUCGAGGGCAGUCAAUUUGAUGGAUGGAGCCCUUGUUGAAGGACGUGAAAUCUCGGUCCAAGUCUAUGUUUAAGAUGGAAAGCAAGUAAGGAUGAUAACAGCUGAUAAACCAUUGGUUUAAAAUUCACAUACUCUGCAGUGCCGAAAUUGCAGUUUCCAGACCAAGAAAUGGAGAUGAAAUAACAUGACUGUUGUAAAAGAGACGUGAAAGGUUUCAAAAUUAGAUUCUCUUCCUGGUUGGCAACAUAAGAUCCUGACAUGGUGUGUCUUACAUUCAUGCAAAUCACUUGUGAAUAAAUGUUAAUGAGCCUUCGGGGUACUGGUAUGACGAUGUGAUAGAAGAUGAGGUCCUCCAGCUCCUGUUUAUUCCACUGUGCCCAGGAAUGGACUGAAACGAGAUGCUAAAGUGCGAAAUUGGGAUGAAAAAAAAAAUCAAAUUUCAUCCCUCCUUGUUGAUAUCUGAAUAAACUGUAUGUGACUGGUGCACCUAACUUCAUUGUGUUCCAUUUCUUAUGCUACAGCCAGAUUCUGUUAGUUAUAACAAUGGUUUAGAUAUAAAAGUAUGGCUGCAUAGCAGGCACUAUUGCUAGAUGCUAAGGAAAGAUUAGAAGAGGAAUAAAACCCAAACCUCAAUGGGACCAACAAAUGAAAGUUAACAUUAUUAUUGCAUUGUUUUGUACACCACAAUUUUGUAAUGAACAAACGCAUUUAUGAUAAAGUUUGAAGUUAAAAGGCAUAAUAUCAAUUCCAUACCAUGUAUCCGAAAUCGUAUGUACAAUUUAAAUAAAUUUAUUAAAUUUUAAAUAGGUGUAUUACACUGCUCACUCUGUAUCACUCACAAGUAUGAUCAAAUCUAACAUGAGCACCUAAAUAUAUUUCACUGGUAAGAAAUAGUCUUGACACAAGAAUCUGUUAUUAUUUGCUUAGCACAUACGCAAUUAACAAAAAUGUAUUGCUUCUUAAAAGUAAUUUGCUUCUCAAAAAGACUGGACAUGUUAAGGCAUGAUUUACCAGCCCAGUCCUUUCUCAGGGGAUCUUAAUCACAUCAAUAGGAGCUCCAAAAAUUCCUCUUCACACUAAGGAAUGACAAACCUAUCUCACUGUGUCAUGAAUUUGUGUACCUGCAAUCCUCAAAAACAUUUUUUAAAAGGUCAGCAAAGAAAACAACCUGGUGCAUGAGCACAAAAAUAACAACAUCUCAAAUUCUUAAAUAUAAAAGGGGUUGGUUACCUUAAAAAUUUAAUGUAUAAAUAUG